rnacentral:lncRNA from 1 species
GUUAUUUCAUAGUUUUGCUGUCUUCACUAUUAUCUUACAAUGUAGAAAUUAGUAAAAAUAAAGAAAAACCCAUGAAUGAGUAGGUGUGUCCAAACUUUUGACUGGAACUGCAUAUUUGUUUUUAUUUUAUUUAACUAGGCAAGUCAGUUACUUCCGGGUUAGGCCAAACUCUAACUCGGAGGACUCUGAGCCAAUUGUGCGCCGCCCUAUGGGACUCUCAAUCACAGCCAGUUGUGAUACAGCCCAGGAUCGAACCAGGGUUUGUAGUGACACCUCUAGCACUGAAAUGCAGUGCCUUAGCCCGCUGCGCCACUCGGGAAAAAUGUGGUUAAUUCUUACAUUUUGGUGGAAAAAAUUAAUUUCCCCUUAGGGCCAACUCGAUCUGUCCUACUAUUGCUCCCAUGCCAUCACUUUCAUCAUAAAGGAGAAAGAAUAGUUCUGAUCAUAGAAAUAUAAUCACUAGAAUGAGUCUAACACACACCAUUGUGAUUCCAUUUCUAUGGUUCUGAUAAUAGGACUGCACAUAGUCAACCUCAUAGAAAAGACUAAUGCUUUAGUCACAGUUUAUCACAGAUCCUAAGUAAAUUAAAUGACGGACAAUUGCAUGGCUGUAUAAAACAUCAUGCAGAUUAUGGGUGAAUUAUCUCAUCACUUUAGGAUGAUUAUAUCACAGACAGAAGAAGGCGCUAGAUGUCUCACAAGACGCAUAAAUCUGAAGCAUUGGUUUAGAAUUUCCACUCACCAUCAAAUAUAGUGAUGAGAGGAAGUCCAGCGGUGGGAAGUGGGAGAAGAUUGAGCUAGAAGAAACCUGGCCGACAUUCUGCUAAUUAACAUUGCUCUCAAUACAGUUUUCUUUUCCCAAAACUAGAAUCUGUUACGAACAGAGUGCACUAAGUUUUAUAGACUUGGCCCGUUACCAAAGUUUCAAAAUAAUGUGUUGUUUAGUAGGAGCACAAGGGUGAAUUGAGUUAUUGCACACACGUACUUCACAGAGAAGGCGUUCCCUAACAGAAAUAUGCAAAUACAUGCUAAAAAGCACCAGUAGGAUCUCACUAGCACGUGCUUGACUCUGCCACAGUGCUUAAUUUGCUCUCAUUGGAAACAAUGCCAAUUAGAUACCUUGGUUUGGUUACCAAUAUCUUUGAUUAUAUUGCCCUAGAAUCAUUAGUGCUUAGUGCUCAGAAAUAUAGGUUUGACCUUUUUUGAUAUGCUGUAGGAAUAACAUUGCUGUUACUCUGUUAGUAGGCAUUCUAAAUUAAUGUUGUUGCCCUCUCUACCCAGGAGCUGAUGUAGGAGGAUCAGGACAAUAGUCAGAUUGGACCUGCAUCCCAAAUGGUACCCUAUUCCCUGACCAGGGUCAAAAGUAGUGCACUAUAUACAGAAUAGCGUGCCAUUUGGGAUGCAAUCGUGGUUUUGAAUGUGAUAGCCUGAGGCCAAGUUAGCAUCUCAACCUUAAAGGAUUUAUGAGCGGUGACUUGUAUGAGAAGCUGUGGUCUGCCCUUCUAUUUGAACAGAUGAGAUACUGUGAAGCGUCUUUCUCUGUUUUAUCUGGAACACAUACAGCAGAUCUUUGUAUUUAUAUCUGAGGGACGUUUGAAGAUUUUUCUGUGUAAGGAUGGAAGGGAAAUUAAGACUGCAUUUUUCUAACAAUGUUGAGGGCAGACUUUACUCUAUUAUUCAUUUGCAUAACAGAUGGUAGCAGCUCAUCUAGUGCUUCAGAAUGUUCCAUAUUUCCCCAUUACUUAACCAAUCACAGCUUCACAAUUUACUGGAACAACAACUUGUACUGGCUCACAACUCAAACCCACAAUCUGUUCCUCUGUUGUGUGAUUUAAUCAGGCUUAUAGUAAGUGUGUGGAAUAUUUUCCUGUCAUAUAUUUAUAUUGUGGUAUUUAUGACUACUAGACACAGCUAUGUUAUUCAUUUUUCAAUUGAUGCAAAACUGUUGUAUAGGUGAAAAGAGCCACAAGAAAUGUUAAAAGGUGUACUUUACCUGUUUGGCUUAAGAUCCCAUGAAGAAUGUUGAGGAAGGUUGAGACCGUGGAAAAACUACUUUGAUUAGUAUCUGGAUUGUGUUGUAUAAUCUUGGAUAUUACUGAUCAGAUUAGUUCUAGUUUGACUUAAAAACAUGUACUGUAUAGUCAAUUUUUUAAUACAUUUUCUACAUAUUAAUAAAAUAUUCCAAUAGUCA